rnacentral:rRNA from 1 species
CAGUCGCCACGGUAAUACGUAGGUGGCAAGCGUUGUCCGGAAUUAUUGGGCGUAAAGGGCUCGCAGGCGGUUUCUUAAGUCUGAUGUGAAAGCCCCCGGCUCAACCGGGGAGGGUCAUUGGAAACUGGGAAACUUGAGUGCAGAAGAGGAGAGUGGAAUUCCACGCGUAGCGGUGAAAUGCGUAGAGAUGUGGAGGAACACCAGUGGCGAAGGCGACUCUCUGGUCUGUAACUGACGCUGAGGAGCGAAAGCGUGGGGAGCGAACAGGAUUAGAUACCCCAGUAGUCCCUGUCUCUUAUAC